AGAGUUUGAUCAUGGCUCAGGAUGAACGCUGGCGGUAUGCCUAACACAUGCAAGUCGAACGAUGUCUUCGGACAUAGUGGCGGACGGGUGAGUAACGCGUGAGAAUCUGCCUCUAGGAUGGGGAUAACGGUUGGAAACGACCGCUAACACCCAAUAUGCCGUAAGGUGAAAAAUUUAUUGCCUGGAGAGGAGCUCGCGUCUGAUUAGCUAGUUGGUGGGGUAAGAGCUCACCAAGGCUUCGAUCAGUAGCUGGUCUGAGAGGAUGAGCAGCCACACUGGGACUGAGACACGGCCCAGACUCCUACGGGAGGCAGCAGUGGGGAAUUUUCCGCAAUGGGCGAAAGCCUGACGGAGCAAUACCGCGUGAGGGAGGAAUGCCUUUGGGUUGUAAACCUCUUUUCUCAGGGAAGAAGAUCUGACGGUACCUGAGGAAUAAGUAUCGGCUAACUCCGUGCCAGCAGCCGCGGUAAUACGGAGGAUGCAAGCGUUAUCCGGAAUCAUUGGGCGUAAAGCGUCCGCAGGUGGUUUCCAAAGUCUGCUGUUAAAGACUGGAGCUCAACUCCGGAACGGCGGUGGAAACUUGGAAACUAGAGUUCGGUAGGGGUAGCAGGAAUUCCCAGUGUAGCGGUGAAAUGCGUAGAUAUUGGGAAGAACAUCGGUGGCGAAGGCGUGCUACUGGACCGUAACUGACACUCAGGGACGAAAGCUAGGGGAGCGAAAGGGAUUAGAUACNNCUGUAGUCCUAGCUGUAAACGAUGGAAACUAGGUGUGGCUUGU
rnacentral:rRNA from 1 species